rnacentral:misc_RNA from 1 species
AACAAGGCGUACCUGCGGACCUGCGGAAGGAUCAUUAACAAAUAAAGAAUCUUAUAUUCUUAAACCCCUUCUGAGUACUUGUACUUGUUGCUUCCGUGGUUAGUGAGCAUCAUGCUUGCAUCUAUCGUCAUGGUGGAUCCACGGAAGGUAUACAUAAACUCUGUCAUUUUGUGGUAUCAGUCUGAGUAUGUUCAAGUUAUAAAUGUUAAAACUUUUAACAACGGAUCUCAGAUCGGAAGA